UACAGAGGCCACGAGCGUUAGGCGGAAUCACUGGGCUUAAAGCGUGUGUAGGUGGAUGGGUAAGUACCUUGUGAAAUCCCACGGCUCAACCGUGGAACUGCUUGGUAUACUGCCUGUCUUGAGGCACUCAGGGGCGAGCGGAACAGAUGGUGGAGCGGUGAAAUGCGUAGAUAUCGUUUGGAACGCCAAAGGUGAAAACAGACAGCUGGGAGUGUGCUGACGCUGAGACACGAAAGCCAGGGGAGCGAACGGG
rnacentral:rRNA from 1 species